rnacentral:rRNA from 1 species
CCUUCCGUAGGGUGACCUGCGGAAGGAUCAUUACCUAGAGUUGUAGGCUUUGCCUGCUAUCUCUUACCCAUGUCUUUUGAGUACCUUACGUUUCCUCGGCGGGUCCGCCCGCCGAUUGGACAAUUUAAACCAUUUGCAGUUGCAAUCAGCGUCUGAAAAAACUUAAUAGUUACAACUUUCAACAACGGAUCUCUUGGUUCUGGCAUCGAUGAAGAACGCAGCGAAAUGCGAUAAGUAGUGUGAAUUGCAGAAUUCAGUGAAUCAUCGAAUCUUUGAACGCACAUUGCGCCCCUUGGUAUUCCAUGGGGCAUGCCUGUUCGAGCGUCAUUUGUACCUUCAAGCUCUGCUUGGUGUUGGGUGUUUGUCUCGCCUCUGCGUGUAGACUCGCCUCAAAACAAUUGGCAGCCGGCGUAUUGAUUUCGGAGCGCAGUACAUCUCGCGCUUUGCACUCAUAACGACGACGUCCAAAAGUACAUUUUUACACUCUUGACCUCGGAUCAGGUAGGGAUACCCGCUGAACUUAAGCAUAUCAAAAGCCGGAGGAA